rnacentral:rRNA from 1 species
GACGAACGUUGGCGGCGUGCUUAACACAUGCAAGUCGAACGGAAAGGCCCUGCUUUUGUGGGGUGCUCGAGUGGCGAACGGGUGAGUAACACGUGAGUAACCUGCCCUUGACUUUGGGAUAACUUCAGGAAACUGGGGCUAAUACCGGAUAGGAGCUCCUGCUGCAUGGUGGGGGUUGGAAAGUUUCGGCGGUUGGGGAUGGACUCGCGGCUUAUCAGCUUGUUGGUGGGGUAGUGGCUUACCAAGGCUUUGACGGGUAGCCGGCCUGAGAGGGUGACCGGCCACAUUGGGACUGAGAUACGGCCCAGACUCCUACGGGAGGCAGCAGUGGGGAAUAUUGCACAAUGGGCGGAAGCCUGAUGCAGCAACGCCGCGUGCGGGAUGACGGCCUUCGGGUUGUAAACCGCUUUCGCCUGUGACGAAGCGUGAGUGACGGUAAUGGGUAAAGAAGCACCGGCUAACUACGUGCCAGCAGCCGCGGUGAUACGUAGGGUGCGAGCGUUGUCCGGAUUUAUUGGGCGUAAAGGGCUCGUAGGUGGUUGAUCGCGUCGGAAGUGUAAUCUUGGGGCUUAACCCUGAGCGUGCUUUCGAUACGGGUUGACUUGAGGAAGGUAGGGGAGAAUGGAAUUCCUGGUGGAGCGGUGGAAUGCGCAGAUAUCAGGAGGAACACCAGUGGCGAAGGCGGUUCUCUGGGCCUUUCCUGACGCUGAGGAGCGAAAGCGUGGGGAGCGAACAGGCUUAGAUACCCUGGUAGUCCACGCUGUAAACGGUGGGUACUAGGUGUGGGAUCCAUUCCACGGGUUCCGUGCCGUAGCUAACGCUUUAAGUACCCCGCCUGGGGAGUACGGCCGCAAGGCUAAAACUCAAAGGAAUUGACGGGGCCCCGCACAAGCGGCGGAGCAUGCGGAUUAAUUCGAUGCAACGCGUAGAACCUUACCUGGGUUUGACAUGGAUCGGGAGUGCUCAGAGAUGGGUGUGCCUCUUUUGGGGUCGGUUCACAGGUGGUGCAUGCCUGUCGUCAGCUCGUGUCGUGAGAUGUUGGGUUAAGUCCCGCAACGAGCGCAACCCUUGUUCACUGUUGCCAGCACGUUAUGGUGGGGACUCAGUGGAGACCGCCGGGGUCAACUCGGAGGAAGGUGGGGAUGACGUCAAGUCAUCAUGCCCCUUAUGUCCAGGGCUUCACGCAUGCUACAAUGGCUGGUACAGAGAGUGGCGAGCCUGUGAGGGUGAGCGAAUCUCGGAAAGCCGGUCUCAGUUCGGAUUGGGGUCUGCAACUCGACCUCAUGAAGUCGGAGUCGCUAGUAAUCGCAGAUCAGCAACGCUGCGGUGAAUACGUUCCCGGGGCU